rnacentral:tRNA from 1 species
GUGGGUAUAGCUCAGUCGGUAGAGCACUGGAUUGUGGAUCCAGUUGUCGUGGGUUCAAGCCCCACUACCCACC